UACGUAGGGUGCGAGCGUUACUCGGAAUUACUGGGCGUAAAGCGUGCGCAGGCGGUGAGCUGUGUCCGAUGUGAAAGCCCCGGGCUUAACCUGGGAAUGGCAUUGGAAACUGGCUCGCUGGAGUGUGGCAGAGGGGGGUGGAAUUCCGCGUGUAGCAGUGAAAUGCGUAGAGAUGCGGAGGAACACCGGUGGCGAAGGCAGCCCCCUGGGCUAACACUGACGCUCAGGCACGAAAGCGUGGGGAGCAAACAGG
rnacentral:rRNA from 1 species